rnacentral:tRNA from 1 species
AUUUUUCUAGUUUAAUAAAAACAAUAAAUUGUGAUUUUAAAAAUAGCUUAGCUGAAAAAUA